AUGAAAAUCUAUCACCUGAUCAAUAUUUCUGACCUUUUGCUCCUUUUGUUGUGCUUGUUGGGGGAUAUUGGACUUGCAAGCACCGGUGUGAAAGUGAAACCAAUAUGCAUUGAGGAUGAGAGGAAAGCACUUAUGGGCUUUAAAGAAGAUCUUACUGAUCCAUCUUGAAGGCUUUCUUCUUGGGUAGGUCAUGAUUGUUGCCAGUGGGAAGGGAUUUCAUGCAACAACCGCACCGGUCAUGUUGCCAAGAUCGAUCUCUAGAAUACAUAUCCACAUUCCACAGCUGAUGAAGAGUGGGACGACAUGAAGUAUGAACAGUCUUGUUUGGGGGUUAAGAUAAACUCUUCUUUGCUUAGCUUGAAACAUUUGUAUUACCUGGACUUAAGUUGGAAUAAUUUUGAAAGGAUUCACAUUCCUAAGUUCUUUGGGGAGCUUAAAACUCUGAGGUAUCUCAAUAUCUCCUUUGCAUUGUUUGCAGGAGAGAUUCCCCCUUCUCUUGGUAAUUUGUCAAACUUGAACUAUCUUGACGUAUCUUAUUCUCUUUACUCCUCAUUCGAAAUACAUUCCAAAAAUUUGAAUUGGCUUUCUCUUCUCUCUUCCCUAAAAUACCUCAAUCUCAAUGGAGUGGAUCUUAGCAACGCAAGAUUUAAAAAUUGAUUGCAUGUUGUUAACAUGCUUCCUUCCUUACUGGAGUUACACUUAUCUCAUAGCUUGAUUGAAAGCCUUCCACUAUCAUUGCAUAGGGUUAACUUCACCUCACUUUUGGUCCUUGAUGUAUAAUAUAAUUCCCUCAAUACUUCUUCAUUUCCCAGCUGGCUUUUCAAUCUUACUAGCCUUAGAAAACUUGAUCUAAGCUGGAAUUCUUUCACUAGUCCUUUUCCAGGUGAAUUUGCAAGCCUCAAAUCUCUGGAUUACCUAGAUUUGUCUGGUUGUGGCCUGGAAGGCCAAUUGCCGGCCUCCUUAGGAAUGUUAAAAAGUUUGCAGUAUUUGCACCUAUCUAAUAAUCGUAUGAAAGGGUCCAUUCCAGAAAGUCUAGGACAACUCUCUGAGCUAGUUGAACUACAUUUGUCUUCCAAUCCUUGGGAAGGAUUUAUAAUGGAAGCCCAUUUCACAAGUCUCACCAGAUUGAAACAUCUUUCGAUAAGGAACAAUGGAAUAAAGAAGCUCAUGUCCCUCGUUUUCAAUGUGGCUUAUGAUUGGGUUCCUCCUUUCAAGCUCCACAAAAUUGAGAUUACCAACUACAAAGUAGGUUCUGGUUUUGGUGUAUGGCUUCAAUCUCAGACUGAAUUGUCUUAUGUCACCCUUAGUAGCACUGGAAUCUUCUAUAGCAGAGGAAUGGCUUUUGAAGAUAUCUUCCUAACUCACACACCUGGAUUUAUCUCACAACCAAUUCCAUGGAAUGCUUCCAUCGAUCCAAUUGAGAUUUCUGAACCCAUUUCAAAUAAGUUUGGCUCAUAAUUAAUUUGAGGGCCCACUCCCACUUUGGUCCACUAAUGCCACUUACUUUGAUCUCUCAAGCAAUUUAUUUUCCGAACCAAUUCCCUCGAAUUUUGACAAGCUGAUGCCCAAAUUGGUAGAAUUGUUUCUUUCAAAGAAUGAUUUGAAUGGUACUCUUCCACAUUCUAUUUGCAACAUGCAAAACCUGACAGCCCUUUCGCUAAGGAGUAAUCAUUUCUCUGGAGAACUCCCACACGCAUGGAGUUCAGGGAGCCUGAAAAGCAUUGUAGAUGCUGCCUACAACAAUCUCUGUGGUAAUAUACCCACUUCAAUGGGGGUAUUAAGUUAUCUUCAAAUAUUAAAGCUGAAGAGCAACAAUUUUGAGGUAAGAUUCCCGAUUCUUUGCAAAAUUGCUCUAUUUUGUUGAGUAUCGACGUUGGAGGCAACAAAUUAUCCAGGAGGUUACCUCCAUGGAUAGGAGGAUAUGGUGGAUCCAUGUUGUACAUGCUACAAUUGCGAAACAACUAUUUUACUGGACAUAUUCCCCGACAAUUGUGCAAUCUCGGCUACCUUCACAUUCUAGACAUUAGCCACAACAACUUUUCAGGUAUUAUUCCCAACUGUUUCAAUAAUUUGACUUCUCUCUUCCGUGAUGUUGCGGAUAAAUACCUCAACUACUAUCAUCCGCAAACCAUGCUGACAUUAAAAGCAGAAGAACUUGUGUCUAACACCACUCUAAUGCUCAUAAAGAGCAUUGAUCUUUCUUCAAAUAUUUUGGAAGGUGAAAUCCCUCAAGAGAUAGGUAGCCUCAUUCAUUUGGGUACCUUGAACUUGUCGAGGAAUCAAUUGACAGGUAAGAUCCCUUCUAAGGUUGGAAAUUUGCGUGGACUCGAAUCUCUUGAUCUUUCACACAACCAUCUUUCGGGACAUAUUCCUCAAAGUUUGCAUCCUUAACAUUUUUGUCCCAUUUGAAUUUGUCUUAUAACAACUUGGUGGGGAGAAUUCCUUUGGGCAAUCAACUCCAAACCCUCAUUGAUUCAUCCAUUUAUAUGGAGAAUCCAUCUGUGUGUGGAGUUCCUCUUCCAACAAAAUGCCGCCCCGGAGAUAGCUACACAUGCAAAACCCAAUGAUGAAGAUGGAAAUAAUAAGUUGUGGUUCGAUGUCAAUAUGGUAUUUGGCUUUGUCAUGGACUUUUGGGGCGUUUGUGGCACAUUAAUGGUAAAGAAAUCAUGGAGGUAUGCCUAUUUUCGAUCAUUUGACAACAUCAAGGAUAAGAUGACGCCAGCAAUUGCGUCAAAGGAAAUUUCGUGAUGUUUAGUAGUGCACAAUAAUUUAAAGAGAAAUUAAAGAAAGUGAUGCUUUCUAUACACGCGUGUUUUGUCAUUGAAGAUAUCAAAACUCAAUUGUUUUUGUUAUUGAAGAUAUCACUCUUCUAUGUAGUGAUGCCGUUCAUACAUGGCCAGCAAUUUCAUCUGGGCGCCAGUUCUCAGCUACCACCGUUUGCCUCUCGGUUCCUCAUCCACCGCUCCCGUUGUUCUUCCUCGGUGGUGUGUGGUGGUCCGUGGCUGCGAUUAAAGUGCAUCAUGCACUUAACACUUGGAUUAUGGGAGCGCUUCCGCGCGGGUGGCCUGCUCACCCCCAUCUUCCGUUGGCCUCUUUGAUACCCCCUGGUGUCGGUUACUCCUCCUUGGUGGUGGCAGAUCUGUUCCUGGUGGUGUUGUCGGUAUGCUAUGUGUGGCUGCUCCUGUGUUCUAGAUCUAGGGUUUCUUUGUUUAAUAUUUUAUGGGUUUCUGCUGUUUAUUUGCUUUUCUAUCCUUGGGCCUGUUUUAUUUGUUGGUAUUGGGCUGCAUUGGAAAUGAGUUUCCUCAAUUUGUAAUGCUUUCCACUAUUAAUGAAUAGUAUUCCCUGACCAAAAAAAAAAGAAGAUAUCAC